GACUGAAGUAUGUCGUGUUAUGCACAAGCGAGACUGCCAAUCAGCAUCUCGGAAAAGCGACAACAAUACUUCAAGACUUUCGAUUAUGGACUUAACACGCCUUUAUACAUAUAACUUGAAUGUUUUUAAUUUUUUAAGAAAACAUGACUGGUUGUUGUGUGCCUGAAUGCUAUAAUAACAGCGAAAAAGGUUUUUCGCUAUGACGAUUUCCGUCUAAUGAAGAAUGGAGGACCUUAUGGGUAUUAAAAAUAAACCGUAAAAAUUGGAAACCUGCUCGAAACUCACAUAUUUGUGAAGUCAAUUUUACUGAAAAUAUGUGGGCGAAAACCAGAAUCGAUGGAAAAGGAAAAUUAAAAUACGAUGCUGUGCCAACAAUUUUUCCCGUUGUUCACGAAGAAAAAGAAAACGAGGAAAAUCCUCAUACAGUAAAUCACUCCGAAGGACUUCACAUCUACUGUAAUCUCUUGGACACAUCAAAAGAAGCUAUUAUACAACACAGAAAAACACACAUAAUUUGGAAGAUAUUUCACAAAUAAGUACUCAAAGUUCUGUUCAAUGUGAUACCACUGCAGCAAUAUUCAAAUUAAACGUUGACCAUGAAAAGGAAGAGUUGAAAAAAAGAUCAUAGAAGCGAAUGGAAAGCUUAAAAUCGCUAACACAGUCAUUUCUCGUGCUGAAAAAGUAAAAAGGUU